rnacentral:rRNA from 1 species
UAGGAAAUAUUAGAAAUGGCCGAAAGUCUGAUCUAGCAACACCGCGUGUGCGAAGAAGGCCUUCGGGUCGUAAAGCGCUUUUUGGAAGGAAUAGGAAGGAAUGUACUUCCAGAAUAAGUCUCGGCUAACUACGUGCCAGCAGCCGCGGUAACACGUAGGAGGCAAACGUUAUCCGGAUUUACUGGGCGUAAAGCGCGUGUAGGUGGUACUGUAAGUAGGGCGUGAAAGCUCCUGGCUCAACUGGGAGAGGCCGUUCUAAACUACAGAACUAGAGGAUGGUAGAGGGAGGUGGAAUUCCAGGUGUAGCGGUGGAAUGCGCAGAUAUCUGGAGGAACACCGGUGGCGAAGGCGGCCUCCUGGACCAUUCCUGACACUCAGACGCGAAAGCUAGGGUAGCAAACGG